rnacentral:rRNA from 1 species
GGGUUGUGAGGUUAAGCGACUAAGCGUACACGGUGGAUGCCCUGGCAGUCAGAGGCGAUGAAGGACGUGCUAAUCUGCGAUAAGCGUCGGUAAGGUGAUAUGAACCGUUAUAACCGGCGAUUUCCGAAUGGGGAAACCCAGUGUGUUUCGACACACUAUCAUUAACUGAAUCCAUAGGUUAAUGAGGCGAACCGGGGGAACUGAAACAUCUAAGUACCCCGAGGAAAAGAAAUCAACCGAGAUUCCCCCAGUAGCGGCGAGCGAACGGGGAGGAGCCCAGAGCCUGAAUCAGUGUGUGUGUUAGUGGAAGCGUCUGGAAAGGCGCGCGAUACAGGGUGACAGCCCCGUACACAAAAAUGCACAUGCUGUGAGCUCGAUGAGUAGGGCGGGACACGUGGUAUCCUGUCUGAAUAUGGGGGGACCAUCCUCCAAGGCUAAAUACUCCUGACUGACCGAUAGUGAACCAGUACCGUGAGGGAAAGGCGAAAAGAACCCCGGCGAGGGGAGUGAAAAAGAACCUGAAACCGUGUACGUACAAGCAGUGGGAGCACAGAGCAAUCUGUGUGACUGCGUACCUUUUGUAUAAUGGGUCAGCGACUUAUAUUCUGUAGCAAGGUUAACCGAAUAGGGGAGCCGAAGGGAAACCGAGUCUUAACUGGGCGUUAAGUUGCAGGGUAUAGACCCGAAACCCGGUGAUCUAGCCAUGGGCAGGUUGAAGGUUGGGUAACACUAACUGGAGGACCGAACCGACUAAUGUUGAAAAAUUAGCGGAUGACUUGUGGCUGGGGGUGAAAGGCCAAUCAAACCGGGAGAUAGCUGGUUCUCCCCGAAAGCUAUUUAGGUAGCGCCUCGUGAAUUCAUCUCCGGGGGUAGAGCACUGUUUCGGCAAGGGGGUCAUCCCGACUUACCAACCCGAUGCAAACUGCGAAUACCGGAGAAUGUUAUCACGGGAGACACACGGCGGGUGCUAACGUCCGUCGUGAAGAGGGAAACAACCCAGACCGCCAGCUAAGGUCCCAAAGUCAUGGUUAAGUGGGAAACGAUGUGGGAAGGCCCAGACAGCCAGGAUGUUGGCUUAGAAGCAGCCAUCAUUUAAAGAAAGCGUAAUAGCUCACUGGUCGAGUCGGCCUGCGCGGAAGAUGUAACGGGGCUAAACCAUGCACCGAAGCUGCGGCAGCGACGCUUAUGCGUUGUUGGGUAGGGGAGCGUUCUGUAAGCCUGUGAAGGUGUACUGUGAGGUAUGCUGGAGGUAUCAGAAGUGCGAAUGCUGACAUAAGUAACGAUAAAGCGGGUGAAAAGCCCGCUCGCCGGAAGACCAAGGGUUCCUGUCCAACGUUAAUCGGGGCAGGGUGAGUCGACCCCUAAGGCGAGGCCGAAAGGCGUAGUCGAUGGGAAACAGGUUAAUAUUCCUGUACUUGGUGUUACUGCGAAGGGGGGACGGAGAAGGCUAUGUUGGCCGGGCGACGGUUGUCCCGGUUUAAGCGUGUAGGCUGGUUUUCCAGGCAAAUCCGGAAAAUCAAGGCUGAGGCGUGAUGACGAGGCACUACGGUGCUGAAGCAACAAAUGCCCUGCUUCCAGGAAAAGCCUCUAAGCAUCAGGUAACAUCAAAUCGUACCCCAAACCGACACAGGUGGUCAGGUAGAGAAUACCAAGGCGCUUGAGAGAACUCGGGUGAAGGAACUAGGCAAAAUGGUGCCGUAACUUCGGGAGAAGGCACGCUGAUAUGUAGGUGAAGUCCCUCGCGGAUGGAGCUGAAAUCAGUCGAAGAUACCAGCUGGCUGCAACUGUUUAUUAAAAACACAGCACUGUGCAAACACGAAAGUGGACGUAUACGGUGUGACGCCUGCCCGGUGCCGGAAGGUUAAUUGAUGGGGUUAGCGCAAGCGAAGCUCUUGAUCGAAGCCCCGGUAAACGGCGGCCGUAACUAUAACGGUCCUAAGGUAGCGAAAUUCCUUGUCGGGUAAGUUCCGACCUGCACGAAUGGCGUAAUGAUGGCCAGGCUGUCUCCACCCGAGACUCAGUGAAAUUGAACUCGCUGUGAAGAUGCAGUGUACCCGCGGCAAGACGGAAAGACCCCGUGAACCUUUACUAUAGCUUGACACUGAACAUUGAGCCUUGAUGUGUAGGAUAGGUGGGAGGCUUUGAAGUGUGGACGCCAGUCUGCAUGGAGCCGACCUUGAAAUACCACCCUUUAAUGUUUGAUGUUCUAACGUUGACCCGUAAUCCGGGUUGCGGACAGUGUCUGGUGGGUAGUUUGACUGGGGCGGUCUCCUCCUAAAGAGUAACGGAGGAGCACGAAGGUUGGCUAAUCCUGGUCGGACAUCAGGAGGUUAGUGCAAUGGCAUAAGCCAGCUUGACUGCGAGCGUGACGGCGCGAGCAGGUGCGAAAGCAGGUCAUAGUGAUCCGGUGGUUCUGAAUGGAAGGGCCAUCGCUCAACGGAUAAAAGGUACUCCGGGGAUAACAGGCUGAUACCGCCCAAGAGUUCAUAUCGACGGCGGUGUUUGGCACCUCGAUGUCGGCUCAUCACAUCCUGGGGCUGAAGUAGGUCCCAAGGGUAUGGCUGUUCGCCAUUUAAAGUGGUACGCGAGCUGGGUUUAGAACGUCGUGAGACAGUUCGGUCCCUAUCUGCCGUGGGCGCUGGAGAACUGAGGGGGGCUGCUCCUAGUACGAGAGGACCGGAGUGGACGCAUCACUGGUGUUCGGGUUGUCAUGCCAAUGGCACUGCCCGGUAGCUAAAUGCGGAAGAGAUAAGUGCUGAAAGCAUCUAAGCACGAAACUUGCCCCGAGAUGAGUUCUCCCUGACUCCUUGAGAGUCCUGAAGGAACGUUGAAGACGACGACGUUGAUAGGCCGGGUGUGUAAGCGCAGCGAUGCGUUGAGCUAACCGGUACUAAUGAACCGUGAGGCUUAACCUUACAACGCCGAAGGUGUUU